UACGGGGGGAGCAAGCGUUGUUCGGAUUUACUGGGCGUAAAGGGCGCGUAGGCGGUCGUGACAAGCCACUUGUGAAAUCUCCGGGCUUAACUCGGAACGGUCAAGUGAUACUGUCGGACUAGAGUACAGAAGGGGCAACUGGAAUUCUCGGUGUAGCGGUGAAAUGCGUAGAUAUCGAGAGGAACACCUGCGGCGAAGGCGGGUUGCUGGGCUGAUACUGACGCUGAGGCGCGAAAGCCAAGGGAGCGAACGGG
rnacentral:rRNA from 1 species